rnacentral:rRNA from 1 species
UGGGGAAUAUUGCACAAUGGGGGAAACCCUGAUGCAGCGACGCCGCGUGGAGGAAGAAGGUCUUCGGAUUGUAAACUCCUGUUGUUGAGGAAGAUAAUGACGGUACUCAACAAGGAAGUGACGGCUAACUACGUGCCAGCAGCCGCGGUAAAACGUAGGUCACAAGCGUUGUCCGGAAUUACUGGGUGUAAAGGGAGCGCAGGCGGGAGAACAAGUUGGAAGUGAAAUCCAUGGGCUCAACCCAUGAACUGCUUUCAAAACUGUUUUUCUUGAGUAGUGCAGAGGUAGGCGGAAUUCCCGGUGUAGCGGUGGAAUGCGUAGAUAUCGGGAGGAACACCAGUGGCGAAGGCGGCCUACUGGGCACCAACUGACGCUGAGGCUCGAAAGUGUGGGUAGCAAACAGGAUUAGAUACCCUAGU